rnacentral:rRNA from 1 species
UAAGGAAUAUUGGUCAAUGGACGCAAGUCUGAACCAGCCAUGCCGCGUGGAGGAUUAAGGCCCUCUGGGUUGUAAACUCCUUUUAUCUGGGAAGAAAUGUACUUUUUCUUGAGUACUUGACGGUACCAGAGGAAUAAGCACCGGCUAACUCCGUGCCAGCAGCCGCGGUAAUACGGAGGGUGCAAGCGUUAUCCGGAUUCACUGGGUUUAAAGGGUGCGUAGGUGGGCAGGUAAGUCAGUGGUGAAAUCUCCGGGCUUAACCCGGAAACUGCCGUUGAUACUAUUUGUCUUGAAUAUUGUGGAGGUAAGCGGAAUAUGUCAUGUAGCGGUGAAAUGCUUAGAUAUGACAUAGAACACCAAUUGCGAAGGCAGCUUACUACACAAUCAUUGACGCUGAGGCACGAAAGCGUGGGGAUCAAACAG